rnacentral:rRNA from 1 species
UGAGGAAUAUUGGUCAAUGGGCGAGAGCCUGAACCAGCCAAGUCGCGUGAGGGAAGAAUGGUCUAUGGCCUGUAAACCUCUUUUGUCAAGGAAGAAUAAGGAUGACGAGUCAUUCGAUGCCAGUACUUGACGAAUAAGCAUCGGCUAACUCCGUGCCAGCAGCCGCGGUAAUACGGGGGAUGCGAGCGUUAUCCGGAUUUAUUGGGUUUAAAGGGCGCGUAGGCGGGACGGCAAGUCAGCGGUAAAAGACUGCAGCUAAACUGUAGCACGCCGUUGAAACUGUUGACCUCGAGACGAGACGAGGGAGGCGGAACAAGUGAAGUAGCGGUGAAAUGCAUAGAUAUCACUUGGAACCCCGAUAGCGAAGGCAGCUUCCCAGGCUCGUUCUGACGCUGAUGCGCGAGAGCGUGGGUAGCGAACAGGAUUAGAUACCCUGGUAGUCCACGCCGUAAACGAUGCUCACUGGAUCUUGGCGAUACACGGCCAGGGUUCAAGCGAAAGUAUUAAGUGAGCCACCUGGGGAGUACGUCGGCAACGAUGAAACUCAAAGGAAUUGACGGGGGCCCGCACAAGCGGAGGAACAUGUGGUUUAAUUCGAUGAUACGCGAGGAACCUUACCCGGGUUUAAAUGUAGAUUGCAUGAGGUGGAAACACUUCUUCCCUUCGGGGCUAUUUACAAGGUGCUGCAUGGUUGUCGUCAGCUCGUGCCGUGAGGUGUCGGGUUAAGUCCCAUAACGAGCGCAACCCCUAUCGCCAGUUGCCAUCGGUUCAAGCCGGGCACUCUGUCGAGACUGCCACCGUAAGGUGCGAGGAAGGCGGGGAUGACGUCAAAUCAGCACGGCCCUUACACCCGGGGCGACACACGUGUUACAAUGGCCGGUACAGAGGGCAGCCACGGGGUGACCCGGAGCGAAUCUCUAAAGCCGGUCGUAGUUCGGACUGGAGUCUGCAACCCGACUCCACGAAGUUGGAUUCGCUAGUAAUCGCGCAUCAGCCAUGGCGCGGUGAAUACGUUCCC